rnacentral:rRNA from 1 species
UACGGGGGGGGGGCAAGCGUUGUUCGGAAUUACUGGGCGUAAAGGGCGUGUAGGCGGCCAACUAAGUCCGACGUGAAAUCCCCAGGCUUAACCUGGGAACUGCGUCGGAUACUGGAUGGCUUGAAUCCGGGAGAGGGAUGCGGAAUUCCAGGUGUAGCGGUGAAAUGCGUAGAUAUCUGGAGGAACACCGGUGGCGAAGGCGGCAUCCUGGACCGGCAUUGACGCUAAAGCGCGAAAGCCAGGGGAGCAAACGGG